CUUCUAAUACGACCCAAGAGUAGUGAUGAUGUUGUAUUGAAGCGUUUCAUCAAGAGUAACAACUCAAUUGGCAGGUCUCAAUACAAGGCGACUUUUGAUACGACCCAGUAGUAAUAAUGAUGUUGUAUUGGAACGUUGCGUCAAGACUAUCAAUUCAAGUGCGACUGGCAGGUCUCAAUACAAGUUGGUGGUGGCUCAGUGAAUGUGAAAAUGAAAACAAGAUCAUGGCCACCGGAACUUGGCUGCCGAUAUAUAACAUGAUGCGAUGCUGCCCCAGUCCAAGAACAUAUUUAACAUGAAUAAAUUUACUUUCAUUUUAAAUUCAAUUCACUAUAAUGCCAUGUCUUGUAUGCUUCUUUUAAAUGACAAGUGAUUCAUAUUACGUAUUAUAAUAUCAAUAUCCUAAGGAUAUUAAUACGGAAACUAACGGUCGAGGGAGCAGCAUCUAUCUUAGAAAAUAACAAAAGGCCUGCCCGAUUCCGCUAUCAACAAUAACGACUAGACCUGACAGCAUAUACUGCAAGAACUUGGAGCGCCAAUGAACAGAUUGUGAAGCUGAAGAAUAGGUUACUGCUAGAUGAACGAGUCCGUUGUUGUCGGUACUCUUAGUAUACAUUAUUUUUACCUAUACGAAGUAAAAGGAUUGCCUGAACGGAGUCCAUUUGUACUGCAAUAACAUUUUAUAAUCAUAUGAAUUAGCAUAUUACAUGACACUUGUAAUACGACCCAAUAGUGAUAAUGAUGUUGUAUUGGAACGUUUCAUCAAGAGCAACAAAUGCAACUAGUCUCAGUAUAAGUUUCGACGGCUACUACGAGAGUACAAGAAGAGCUCAAUGCGACGUGCAGUUCACGCUCGGCCAAGGGUUGAUGGAGUGCAUGAACGAUGCAGUCUCUAAGUUAUUUAGCAGCGAGCAUGCCCGCCGGGUGUUGACUGUACCCAGCAAGAUGUCACUCCUGGUCUACAUGAGUCAGUGAAAUCUCAAGAUGGUGAUACCUACUGAACCUACGGAACCUGCCUGCCGAUAGAUAAUAUGAUGCGAUGCUACUCCAGUACAAGAACACAUUUGACAUGGAUAAAUUCACUUUGCGCGCCAAUUCUUUAUCAAGAGACUGGUAUGUUUCUUUUAAAUGUCAGUUAAUAGAUUCAUAUUAUGUGUUGUAAUAUAAAUAGUAAGAAAUUUAUAUUAUACGUACUAUAUACAUACUACAUGUACAAAUGAUUAUGAAAUAUUAACAGGAGCAUGAUGUUACAUGUUUUGUUGUCCACUCAGCACUACUUCACAAUAAAUAUGCAUUUACUAUUUACAAAAAACUUAUACCAAAUCAUUUAAUAAGGGAUGUGUGAAAAAAAUUCUCUAAAAACGUUCAGCAAUGUGUUAACUGAUAAGUUGUUUUUCUUAACUUAUUAAAUAAUAAUAAAUAUAAAUAAAAGAAAUAUUACAAGAUUUGAUAUAAGAAUAGACGAUAGAAUUUUUAAAAAUCAUAUAAGAAAACGGCGUGAAUUAUGGUCCCAGUCUUCAACGUCUACAUCAGAAUACAGAUAUAGGCAACUUAUUAAGCAAAUCAUCAAGUGUAUAUGGCGUGACAUACGCCAGUUUAAUAUUGUAUACAAAGUGUUCGCCAGAGAUUUGACUAUUGGGCAAAGCCGACUUACAAAGUUGAAGAACGCUACCGAUGAUAUAAAUUUCGCUACAUCUGAGAUUUUGAGUGAGAUUGUAUGGACAGCUGUACACAACGUCGUAAACACCGCAUACCAAUGUAAAUAACGACCUAAGAGCUAAAGUCACCCGACACUACCGAUAAUAUCUCAGACGUCAGUUUGCAGGAGAUUUAAAUAGCUCUCUAACAGUUGCUUAAAAACGGCAAGGCAGCGUUUAAGGGUGUCACUUUAUCUUUUGGAGGCGUCUUCUUACACUGUGUUUGCCCGUACGGGCUUGUCACCGAAGAGCCUUUCUUCCCCACCAGUUGUUGCUUCUUCAAGCUAUGUGACCAACCCAUUUUCACUUCACCUUAUUUAUCCUUCUGGCUAUGUUAGAGACUGGUUAUUUUACGGAUAUCCUAAGUUUGGAUUCUGUUACGUAAAAAAACUCUGAAGUACCCCUCUCCAUAGCUUGGCGAGUAAUUUGAAAUGUCGGUCUCACCGGUGUCGGUCUUCACGUUUGAAAGUUGGCUUCACCCAAUAGCCAAAUCUCUGGCGAACACUUUAGAGCCUUAAUUUCACUUUAUUGCGAGUUCAAUGCAUGAAUAGUAUAAAAUGUCCUCUAACACUGUUCCCACCUCAUCGUCGAAAUCUGUUACGGCCGGCGCAUAUACCUGUGUAACUUUCAACACUCUUUGGAAUCAACUUCCAGCAGCAGUAUUUCUGAAUCCAUACGACAUCAUAACCUUUAGAAAAAAGAAUAUAUUCCUUUUUAAAAAGCCGGCAGCACACCUGCUAAGCCUCUGGUGGUGGUGAUCAUGUGCGGCGGUGGUCACUUACCAUCUGAUGAGCCAUAUGGCUGUUUGCCUUCUGUGUUAUAAAAAAAGAUAAUCCUAUAAUAUUCCAGUGUAACUUAUUUACCUCUUCUUCCAGCUUAACAAUCUCCUCAUCCGCCCUCAAAGUUUCUGUAUUAUAUGUUGCCAGGUCUAGUCAUUUUAGCUGGUAGCCAAAUUACAAAUGAAGAUUCUUAGCAUCUCCUGCCCCACCAUUACCAUGACAGCUGACGUGUUUACUCUUCAUCAGCCCUUAAAGUUUGUGCAUUAUAUGUUGCCAGGUCUAGUCAUUUUGGUUGGUUGCCAAAUAACUGCCGAAGAUUCUUAGCAUAUCCUACCCCACCGUUACCAUGACAGCUGGCGUGUUUUCUUUUUAUCAGCCCUCAAAGUUUGUACAUUAUAUAUUGCCAGGUCUAGUCAUUUUGGCUGGUAGCCAAAUUACUGCCGAAGAUUCUUAACAUCUCCUGCCCCACCGUUACCAUGACGGUUGACGUGUUUACUUCUCAUCAGCCCUCAUAGUGUGUACAUUAUAUGUUGCCAUGUCUUGUCAUUUUGGUUGAUAGCCAAAUUACUGCCGAAGAUUCUUAGCAUCUCCUGCCCCACUGUUACCAUGACGGCUGAAGUGAUUACUUCUCAUCAGCUCUCAAAGUUUGUGCAUUAUAUGUUGCCAGGUCUAGUCAUUUUGGCUGGUAGCCAAAUUAAUGCCGAAGGUUCUUAGCAUCUCCUGCCCCACCGUUACUAUGACGGCUGAAGUCUUUACUUCUCACCAGCCCUCAAAGUUUGUGAAUUAUAUGUUGCCGCUUAAAAUUUUAUAAAGGUCACAUAUGAAAUACUAUUUUCACCUAUAGGCAGAAACGCCACAGUACUAGCUUCUUCCGUUAGAUCGCAUUCAAAGUCGGGUGGCUCGAAUUAUUGAUGGUCAGCACCUUACUGUCCGACUCGACACACUGAAACUGUGUAGAGAUAUUGGAAUUUUGCGUAAUUGGCACUUUCUUCCACGUACAAACGCUCUUUGCAAUUAACUUCCAGCAGCAGUAUUUUCGAACCCAUAUGACAUCAUGACCUUCAAGAAAAGAGCGUAUUCCUUUUUAAAAGGUCGGCAGCACACCUGCUAAAGCUCUGGUGGUGCGGGUGAUCUUAGGCGGUGGUGGUCACUUAUCAUCAGGUAAGCCACAUGCUCGUUUAUCGUCUGUGUUAUAGAAAAAAAAGAUAGUUCUAUAAUAUCCCAGUGUAACUUCUUUACCUCUUCUAGCUUCACAGUCUUCUUAUGGGCCCUCAAAGUUUGGCCGUUUUACCUGGUGGCCAACUUUUGCACUAUAUCUAGACCUGUUAAUAUAGCUCGAGUUCUUUGAAUAUUGUUUACAUAACACUCGAACAGUACGUUAUUGUUAGUACUAGAUUGUAUCAAGAAGUCUAUACCUUGAAAAUAAUACAAGACAAGUUAGGCAUAAAUCUAUUUGCUCUCUUCUUCGGAAGUGAAUUACUUCUUAGUACCAGCAAUAACCUUUCCUGUCAUCAAUGAUACUAGUAAUCAGUAAGGCAGUCUACCAUACACUUCCAGGUGGAGGUCGAUAUCCUUUUUUUAUAUAGGAACAUGCAUCAUGCAGCUUCAUACGUCUCUUUCGGGGCGUGUGGUACUGACUGAUGAUGACUUGAUCCUUCUUUAUUAUAAAUCGAUACACUUUUUAUUGGAAUCUCCCUAUUGCAUUAUCUAUUUUUUCAUUUGCAAAUGUUCACUUUAAAAAUACUACAUCAUUAUUACUACUGGGUGGUACCAAAAAUCUAUAGCCUCAAAAUGUAAGACCCCAUUUGCGGAUCAAUUAAUAUACAAACAGAUUUACUAUACGGGGUUAUAAGAUGAGAGCCAAUUUUCGUUUGAAAAUGUGGAAAGUGGCUUAGUGUGAUUUUGAAAUAUUCUUACUAUGUAUUACAAAUGGACUCCUUUCAGGCAAUCCUUCUACUUCCACAUUAUAUUAUUUCCAAUCGAG
rnacentral:lncRNA from 1 species